GAAGAAAACAAUAAUAAUAAUAAUUAAAAAAAAAAGCCAGACACUUUCAGAGCCAGCAUCAACUUCGCCAGGCUGUGUUCUUUGUUUCUAGGCAGACUCCAGUGCAGUGGCAAGAAUGAACAAAUGCGCAUGCCUUAAUAAGAGUCCAAAAAAAAAAAAAAAAAGAAAAAAAAAAAAGAAAUUCCCCCUCCAAAGCCCCCGCUCGUUUCUGCAGCAGGAGGGGAGCCCAGCAAAUACUUUGUGCUGCUUUUUCGGGACUAAAACUCUGCUUCAGCCCCUCGGGCCGAGGAGGCAUUUCGCUACGCUGCGAGCGCGGAAAAACCGCCUGGCACGCUUCGGGCAGCCACGACGACUGCAGAACCCAGUCCCAUUAUACGAGGUUCAACAAUACAUACAACAUUUUGUCCAGCUCAACCAGGAGCUGAAAGAGGCAGACGAGGAUCGCUUAUCGCGUGCGGAACGGCCCUCCCUGAAAACAGCCCUGCUGGAAAUGGCUGUAAUAAAAACGCCGGCGUUGGCGGUCCGAGCAGCACACCGGGAGCCCUGCUUUCUGCACCCUGUUCUCACGACGACUUCCUCUGCGGCCAGGAGCAGAUCACUUCUCUUAGUUACCACCAUGCCAACUCAUAGUUGAAAUCAAUUAGUUAAUGUUUGCAAAGUCAGUUGAAGAUGAAAAAGCAUUACAUACUGCUAAUAAAACCGUAAUGAUCCCACUGUUAAACAUUAAACACACAGUGAUGUGUAAAAAAAGAAA